AUUGAACGCUGGCGGCAGGCCUAACACAUGCAAGUCGAGCGAGCGGCGGACGGGUGAGUAAUGUCUGGGAAACUGCCUGCUGGAGGGGGAUAACUACUGGAAACGGUAGCUAAUACCGCAUACCAUCAGAUGUGCCCAGAUGGGAUUAGCUAGUAGGUGGGGUAAUGGCUCACCUAGGCGACGAUCCCUAGCUGGUCUGAGAGGGUGACCGGCCACACUGGAACGGAGAAAGGGUCCAGAGCCCUACUGAAGGCAGCAGGGGGAAAUAUUUAACAAUGGGCGCAGGCCUGAAGCACCCAGGCCGCGUGUGGAAAGAAGGCCUUCGGGUGGAAAAGCACUUUCAGCGAGAAGAGGUUACUCGCGGAAGAAGCACCGGCUAACUCCGUGCCAGCAGCCGCGUAAUAC
rnacentral:rRNA from 1 species